AUGGCCUGGACUCCUCUGCUCCUCGCGCUCCUCUCUCUCUGCACAGGGUCCCUCUCCCAGCCUGUGCUGACCCAGCCGCCCUCCCUGUCGGCAUCUCCGGGAGCCACGGCCAGACUCCCCUGCACCCUGAGCAGCGACCUCAGUGUUGGAGGCUAUAACAUGUACUGGUACCAGCAGAAACCAGGGAGCGCGCCCCGGUUUUUCCUGUACUACUACUCAGACUCAGACAUGAAGCUGGGACCUGGGGUCCCCAGUCGAGUCUCUGGAUCCAAAGAAGCCUCGAGCAACACAGCGCAUCUGCUCAUCUCGGGACUGCAACCUGAGGACGAGGCUGACUAUUACUGUGCUAUUUACUAUAGCAGUGGCGGCAGCUACCGUUACCCACAGUGUCUCAGAGGACGAGGAACUUCUGCCUGA